rnacentral:rRNA from 1 species
GAUGAACGCUGGCUACAGGCUUAACACAUGCAAGUCGAGGGGAAACGACGGGGAAGCUUGCUUCCCCGGGCGUCGACCGGCGCACGGGUGAGUAACGCGUAUCCAACCUGCCUCUGACUGAGGGAUAACCCGUCGAAAGUCGGCCUAAUACCUCAUGGUAUCGUCUGCGGGCAUCCAACGACGAUUAAAGAUUUCAUCGGUCAGGGAUGGGGAUGCGUCUGAUUAGCUUGUUGGCGGGGUAACGGCCCACCAAGGCUACGAUCAGUAGGGGUUCUGAGAGGAAGGGCCCCACAAUUGGAACGGGGAACGGGUCCAAACUCCUACGGGGGGCAGCAGGGAGGAAAAUUGGUCAAGGGGGGGGGGCCUGAACCAGCAAAGGGGCGUGCAGGAAGCCGGCCCUUUGGGUUGGAAACUGCUUUUAUGGGGGGAUAAAGGGGGGGGCGUGCCCCUCAUUGCAGGUACCGAAUGAAUAAGGACCGGCAAAUUCCGU